AACGAACGCUGGCGGCAUGCCUAACACAUGCAAGUCGAACGAGACCUUCGGGUCUAGUUGCGCACGGGUGCGUAACGCGUGGGAACCUUCCCUUAGGCUCGGAAUAACUCCCCGAAAGGGGUGCUAAUACCGGAGAAUGUCUUCCUACCACAGAUUUAUCGCCUGUGGAUGGGCCCGCGUUGGAUUAGCUAGUUGGUAGGGUAAAAGCCUACCAAGGCGACGACCCAUAGCUGGUCUGAGAGGAUGAUCAGCCACACUGGGACUGAGACACGGCCCAGACUCCUACGGGAGGCAGCAGUGGGGAAUAUUGGACAAUGGGCGAAAGCCUGAUCGAGCAAUGCCGCGUGAGUGAUGAAGGUCUUAGGGUUGUAAAGCUCUUUUACCCGGGAUGAUAAUGACAGUACCGGGAGAAGAAGCUCCGGCUAACUACGUG
rnacentral:rRNA from 1 species